UCUCUCCUUAAACAAUUACUCUUAAAAGUGGCUGCUGUGUCACAUGUGCCUCAGUAGGUGGCAGAGAAGAUAAAGGCCAUGUCUGUGCUCAGUUUUCUGACCUCAGAACAUCGGAUGAUUGUAGCCUACCAUU
ensembl:snoRNA